rnacentral:lncRNA from 1 species
UGGCUCAUAACCAACAAGUCUUCCUAUCCUGACUUCUCUACAAGUUCAGUUUCAUACUCGUUCUCGUUCUUGUUGGAAUUAUAUUACGGCGUCUACUAGAACUCAAGUGCUUUCGUUUUACGGGACAUGUGAUGUGGGUGGUGGAUUAAGUAGUAGAAGUUGAAAUGUUUUUGUAUCAAGCUGUAUGGUUUCAUAAGAAGUAUUUUAUACGUUUAGUUUUGUCAAUGAUUCGGUAUAUUUUAAUAUGUGGUGGGUCAGAGAGAA